GAUGAAGAACGUAGCGAAAUGCGAUAAGUAAUGUGAAUUGCAGAAUCCAGUGAAUCAUCGAAUCUUUGAACGCACAUUGCGCCCGCCAGUAUUCUGGCGGGCAUGCCUGUUCGAGCGUCAUUACAACCCUCAGGCCCCCGGGCCUGGCGUUGGGGAUCGGCGGAAGCCCCCUGCGGGCACAACGCCGUCCCCCAAAUACAGUGGCGGUCCCGCCGCAGCUUCCAUUGCGUAGUAGCUAACACCUCGCAACUGGAGAGCGGCGCGGCCACGCCGUAAAACACCCAACUUCUGAAUGUUGACCUCGAAUCAGGUAGGAAUACCCGCUGAACUUAAGCAUAUCAAUAAGCGGAGGA
rnacentral:misc_RNA from 1 species